rnacentral:lncRNA from 10 species
CUUUUAAUGUAGCAAUUAUAUAUUUCGUCAAUUAGAGGUUUGCUCUCUAAAAGCAGAUACUUUUCAUUUUAAAGUACAUAGGAUAAUUCUCAAGAAGUAUUUGCUGCAGUACUGGUGGUUAUGGCUAAAAAUAGAGCAAUAGUGAAAAUAAAAAUAAGUGCCUACUCUAAAACCAGGAAGAUGCACAGUGAAAACUUUGAAAAAUUAUUUUGCCAUGAAAUAAUUUUCUAAGCGUUUUCCUUGGGAUAUUGAUUUUAUUGUAUCGAUUGUAUUAUAUUGUAUGGUAUUAGAUUAGAUUAGAUUGGAUUGGAUUUAUAGCACCCAGGCUACCUCCUUGAGAAACAGCAACUUACCUAGCAAAUCCACCUUUUUCGCCUUUAAGAAUACGUUUUCAUUGAAUUCCUAUUUGUCCAAAGAUACUAAGUAUGCCCGGUGGACCUAAGAGACAAACCCAAAUUAGGGAAAGUAAGCUCAGAUGGAAAGAGACCUUUGGGAUUUCAUUUUAUUAUGUUUUAUAUAUGUUUUAAUACCUUUUCACAGAUUUAAAUCCCCAGGGUGAAUACUCCCUUCUUUGUUAGUACCUGGCGUGUGUUCAGUAGUCAAAGUAAUUAAAAUUAGCACCUAUAUAAUGAGCUUGUCAUUUUUAAUGUUCUUUACCAACCAGAAUCCUAAUGAAGUCUAAAAGGUUUAGGCUGGGCACGUUGGCUCACGCCUGUAAUCCCAGCACUUUGGGAUUACAGGUGUUAGCCGCCGCCCCCGUCCUGGUUUUUGUUUUGUUUUUUACAUAAAACGCAAGAUUCUCUAAAAAUGUCCAAAUUUUGGCUAUGUAUAUGAACAUCAUACAUACGUAUUAGAUUCAAGCUAAUACUCACUCUUCUACUCUGCUAACAUGGCCAGAAGACAUAAAAAAAAUUUUUUUUUGAGACGUAGUUUCACUCGUCGCCCAGGCCGGAGCACAAUGGCGCGAUCUCGGAUCAUUGCAACCUCUGCCUCCCGGGUUCAAGCGAUUCUCUUGCCUCAGCCUCCCGAGUAGCUGGGAUAACAGGCGUGCGCCACCACGCUCGGCUAAUUUUGUAUUUUUAGUAGAGACUGGGUUUCACCAUGUUGGUCAGGCCAGUCUCGAACUCCUGACCUCAAGUAAUCCACCCACCUCGCCUCCUAAAGUGCUGGGAUUACCGGCGUGAGCCAUGACCCCGGCCCAGAAGACAUAAAUAUUUGCCGGGUAAUGACACCUUCGGGAAUGAACAAUGGUUCUUCGUUUAUUAUGUCACCGACCCUAACAAUGACCACACAAUGUACUAAGUCAACAUGGCUAAGGGUGCACUAUGGGUUAUUUGUUGUGAAUCUCUAAGACUCCAUGUGAUAACCAAAAUACUUUAUUUUGUUUUGAGAUGGAGUUUCGCUCUUGUUGCCCAGGCUGCAGUGCAAUGGCGCGAUCUGGGCUCACUGCAACCUCCGCCUCCCGGGUUCAAGUGAUUGUCCCGUCUCAGCCUCCCUAGUAGCUGGGAUUACAGGUACAUGCCACCACGCCCGGCUAAUUUUUGUAUUUUUAGUAGAGACGGGGGUUUCAUCAUAUUGGUCAGGCUGGUCUCAAACUCCUGACCCUCAGGUGAUCCACCCACCUCGGCCUCCCAAAGUGCUGGGAUUACAGGCGUGAGCCACCAUGCCCGACCCAAAAUACUUUUUUUAAAGGUAUCACAGCUCCAGGAAAUAGAGCAGUAAAUUGAUCUGUCCUUCAGAUCACCAGGACUUUCAUAGGCUAAAUAUCUUCACAACAGACCUCCAAAACCUUCAAGGUCAGAACUGAACACACGGUGGCGAGAGGAACUGUCUUCACAGCAGCUCUGCUUCCUCGGAGACGGCCAGAGGGAAAGGCCGUUGGCCAGUGCCAGUACUUCGCCCAAGGGAGUACCUGCUCACAUUAACCCAGCCCAAGAAGUUCCUUUGGCCAAGACGCACACACACACACCACUGUCCGGUUUUCUAUUUCCUUCCAGUGUAACGACAACCACAAGCUAUCAGCACUUCACUAUUUGCUGUCCCCUCAGCGGGAUCGGGAUGCAGCUACGCAGCGGGCCCCUGGCGAGCCGCGGUGUCAGGGCCCUUUUCUCCUCUUCCCACCGUGGGAAGCGAAUUCAGUGGCGUCAAGGGCCAAGAGCCAGACCUGAGUUUGUCUCUCACCCCCCGAUGCUCGUCUCCCUUUUCUCACUGCCUUCCGCCCCCUCUGAUCUCGACUUCUCGCAACCUAUCCAGGUCCUCUCUGGGCCUCUGCCCUGAGUCAGCCCCGAAUCAGACGGGCUUGACUCGCUGAAAGAAUUCCCCUUUGAGAGGAGGCAGAUUCCCCUCUACAUAGACGACACCCUGACGUCGAGGGGCUUGCCCCUCGUCCGUGGGGAAGCCUUCCCGGCCCGCGGCUGGGGCCUGAGGUUGGGCCGAUCACCCCUCCUACCAGUCCUAGUUCGGGUCUAGCGGAAUGGCUGGGCUCCGAGAAGGGCGCCGGGCCCACGGGCGGGACGGCCAGGGCGGCCCCGCACCCUCUGG